CUACGGGCCGCACCAGUGAGGAAUAUUGCACAAUGGGGGAAACCCUGAUGCAGCAACGCCGCGUGGAGGAUGACGCAUUUCGGUGUGUAAACUCCUUUUAUCAGAGAAGAAAAUGACGGUAUCUGAUGAAUAAGCUCCGGCUAACUCCGUGCCAGCGAGCCGCGGUAAUACGGAGGGAGCAAGCGUUAGUCGGAAUCACUGGGCGUAAAGGACGCGUAGGCGGGUUUGUAAGUCAGGUGUGAAAUCCUAUGGCUCAACCAUAGAACUGCACUUGAAACUGGGGACCUAGAGUAUGGAAGGGGCAGGUGGAAUUAGUGGUGUAGGGGUAAAAUCCGUAGAUAUCACUAGGAAUACCGAAAGCGAAGGCGACCUGCUGGGACAUUACUGACGCUGAGGCGUGAAAGCGUGGGGAGCAAACAGGAUUAGAUACCCCGGUAGUC
rnacentral:rRNA from 1 species